AGUCGAAUUUAAUUUUCUAAAUUUAUUUUCAAACUUCAAAUUUUUAUGUUAACUUAGUUUAUCCCUAGAGCAAGUGGCAAAGGGCUUGGUGGUUGGUACCCGAAACCCAAGUUCGAAUCCUAAUUGAUUCACAUUUCUAGCUAAGUUUAUUUCUAAAUCAAAUAAACGAAGCAGGUAGCGUGCUACCUAUCUCUCUCAAAAAAAUAAAAAAAAUAAAAAAAAAAACUUAGUUUAAUGAACUAGACUAAGCCUGACCUAACUUAACCGAAUCUAUUAGAAACCAAACCAAAGAGAUCGAACUAGAUUUUUCACUACAACAAAAUUAGAUUAUAGGGACACAUGUUUGGGACACUUUUGUGUAAGUAUCCUAUUUAUACCAAAACUUUUAAAAAAAUCUACUAAUGCCUAAAUAUAAAGUCCAAUCCAACCAAAAAUAAAAGGUUACUCUAGCUCACCCCACCCCACCCAGCCUAUUCGGCCCGAUUACAAACAGAAAAGAAAAAGAAAAAAAAAUCGAUUACCAUUUUCCCUUCUCUCUUUACUCAAUUGACUGAAAUCCUAAACGAAGAUCCUUUCCUCUCGUCCUCCUUCGCCACCGCAACCAAUGAGGUAGAGUUUCGGCGGUUGCUAAAUGGUUAAAUAAGUAUUGGUAAAUUAGCAGCACUCUUUUUAGGUUAUAACGAUACUCUUUAACUGUCACUGUAUACCUAGCGACCCCACAUAUAGAAACACAUUUUAAAAGUGUCAGUAAUUUAGCCAGCAACACUUUUUUUGACCUGUACCGACAUUUAAAAGUGUCGUUAUAGACCGUUUUUGUUGUAGUGUUUUUAGGUUUAUUUGUGUGUGAGAGAGAGAGAAAGAUUUUCAUAACUUAAUUUGAUCCAAGUUCCCUUAACUUCAAAUCGAAUGAAUCGAUCUUAAUUUUCUAAAUCUAACUAUUUGUAGAUUGUCGGAUCAUUGGCGCUAACCAUUAAUUCCAAAAGCUCGAGCUGUUAAAAAUACGCAACAAAUUCACUUAAAACAUACAGAUACAGCGAGAAAGAGAGAGAUUUAGACCUUACAUUUUGACA
rnacentral:lncRNA from 1 species